rnacentral:rRNA from 1 species
UGCGGGGGGUGCGAGCGUUGUCCGGAAUCGACUGGGCGUAAAGGGGCGCGUAGGUGGUUUGAUAAGGGUGUGGUGAAGUCCGGGGCUCAAACCCGGAUCUGCCGUGCCGACUGUCAAACUCGAGGGCUGUAGAGGCAGACGGAAUUCCGGGUGUAGCGGUGGAAUGCGUAGAGAUCCGGAGGAAGACCGGUGGCGAAGGGCGGUCUGCUGGGCAGUUUCUGACACUGAUGCGCGACAGCGUGGGGAGCAACAGGG